GACAGAGGGUGCUAGCGUUAUUCGGAAUUACUGGGCGUAAAGCGCGCGUAGGCGGUUUUUUAAGUCGAUUGUUAAAUCCUGGAGCUUAACUCCAGACAUGCGGUUGAUACUGGAAAACUAGAGUAUGGGAGAGGUAGAUGGAAUUCCUAGUGGAGAGGUAAAAUUUGUAGAUAUUAGGAGGAACACCAGAAGCGAAGGCGGUCUACUUGAACAUUACUGACGCUGUGGCGCGAAAGCGUGGGGAGCAAACAGG
rnacentral:rRNA from 1 species